CAAAGAAUAACAAUGUUUUUGUAUUUGUUUAGUAAGUGCUAAUUAUUUUGUAUUUUAUUGCCUGUGAAUUUAACCACCACAUACAGUAUGUUUGUAUGAGGGACUUUUAUUGUGAAACUAGGUGAACUCAGGUUAACGGUAAAAAACAGAUUAGUUUGGCGGCAGAGCAGCAGCUGAAAGGAGCAAAUAAAGCAGCUUUUAUAUGGUUUUAGCCCCCCUUUAAGAGGCACAAGCUCUUACGGUGGUUUAUUUUGUAUUAAUGCUCAGAAGGUUUAACGUAAGCUGUCAAGGAGAAGCAAUAAAUGCAAUUUAUACCAUCA